GCCAGGUGCAGUGGGGCAUUCCUGUAGUCCCAGCUACUCGGGAGGCUGAGGCAGGAGGAUCGCUUGACCCAGGAGUUCUGGACUAUAGCGCACUGCGCCGAUCAAGUGUCUGCACUAAGUUUAGCAUCAAUAUGGUGACCUCUUGAGAGCAGGAUGACCAAGUUGCCUAAAGAGGGGUGAACUGGCCCAGGUCAGAAGUGGAGCAGGUCAAAACUCCUGUGCUGAUCAGCAGUGAGAUUGUGCGUAUGAAUAGCCACUGCACUCCAGCCUGGGCAACAUAGUGAGACCUGUCUCUA
rnacentral:SRP_RNA from 1 species